GCCCCUGUGGCGGAAUUGGUAGACGCGACGGACUCAAAAUCCGUUGCCCGCAAGGGCGUGCCGGUUCGAUUCCGGCUAGGGGCACCA
rnacentral:tRNA from 1 species